GACGAACGCUGGCGGCGUGCUUAACACAUGCAAGUCGAACGGAAAGGCCCUGCUUUUGGGGGGUGCUCGAGUGGCGAACGGGUGAGUAACACGCGAGUAACCUGCCCUUGAAUUUGGGAUAACUUCAGGAGACUGGGGCUAAUACCGGAUAGGAGCUCCUGCUGCAUGGUGGGGGUUGGAAAGUUUCGGCGGUUGGGGAUGGUCUCGCGGCUUAUCAGCUUGUUGGUGGGGUAGUGGCUUACCAAGGCUUUGACGGUUAGCCGGCCUGCGAGGGUGACCGGCCACAUUGGGACUAAGAUACGGCCCAGCCUGCUACGUGACGCAAUAGUGGGCAAUAUUGUCCAGCGGGCGAGAGUCUGAUGCCGCAGCGUCGCGUCCGGGAUUACUACCUUUAGGUUUUAAACCGCUUUCGCCGUUCAGGAAGCGUGCGUGACGGUAAUCGGUCAGGAAGCACCGGCUAACUACGUG
rnacentral:rRNA from 1 species